AGUUUUAUAGUUUAUUAGAAUUUAAAAUUGCAAAUUUUAAGGUGAAAAUUUCUAAAGCUU
rnacentral:tRNA from 1 species